GUGCUCACUUCAGCAGCACAUAAACUAAAACUGGAAUGAGACAGAGAAGAUCAGCAUGGCCCCUGUGCAAAGAAUGUUAUUCGUGCCAUGGAGCAAUUCAAGCUGUAA